UGCUGGGAUAGCUCAACUGGUAGAGCAUGAGACUGUAAAUCUCAGGGUUGUGGCACCCCCGCCGGGCUCGCAA